UGUGUACUCCCUCCGUCCCAAAAUACCUGACUUCCAAAUUGUCCAAAAAUGGAUGUACCUAUAUACAAAAACAUGUCUAGAUACAUCUCUAUUUUGACAAAUAGAAGGCAUGUAUUGUGGAACGGAGGGAGUAGAAU
rfam:Triticum aestivum genome assembly, contig: Triticum_aestivum_CS42_TGACv1_scaffold_577265_7BL